rnacentral:rRNA from 1 species
AGCGAACGCUGGCGGCAGGCUUAACACAUGCAAGUCGAGCGGGCGUAGCAAUACGUCAGCGGCAGACGGGUGAGUAACGCGUGGGAACAUACCUUUUGGUUCGGAACAACACAGGGAAACUUGUGCUAAUACCGGAUAAGCCCUUACGGGGAAAGAUUUAUCGCCGAAAGAUUGGCCCGCGUCUGAUUAGCUAGUUGGUGAGGUAACGCUCACCAAGGCGACGAUCAGUAGCGGUCUGAGAGAUGAUCAGCCACAUUGGACUGAGACACGGCCC